rnacentral:rRNA from 2 species
UUUGGUGAUGAUGGCAGAGAGGUCACACCCGUUCCCAUAUCGAACACGGAAGUUAAGCUCUCUAGCGCCGAUGGUAGUUGGGACCUUGUCCCUGUGAGAGUAGGACGUCGCCAAGC